rnacentral:rRNA from 1 species
CCCUUAGAUGUUCUGGGCCGCACGCGCGCUACACUGAUGCAUUCAACGAGUUUCUUCCUGGUCCGAGAGGAAUGGGUAAACUUUUGAAAGUGCAUCGUGAUAGGGAUAGACUAUUGCAAUUAUUGGUCUUCAACGAGGAAUUCCUAGUAGACGUAGUUCAUCAGACUGCAUCGAUUACGUCCCUGCCCUUUGUACACACCGCCCGUCGCUCCUACCGAUUGAAUGCUCAGGUGAGCCAUUCGGACUUUCAUCAUGCUGGUUUCCAGUUUUGAUGAAGGAAAGUCUUGCGAACCUUAUCAUUUAGAGGAAGGAGAAGUCGUAACA